CCUACGGGAGGCAGCAGUAAGGAAUAUUGGUCAAUGGAGGCAACUCUGAACCAGCCAUGCCGCGUGCAGGAUGACGGCCCUAUGGGUUGUAAACUGCUUUUAUACAAGAGAAAACCCUGGUACGUGUACCAGGUUGAUAGUAUUGUAAGAAUAAGCAUCGGCUAACUUCGUGCCAGCAGCCGCGGUAAGACGAAGGAUGCAAGCGUUAUCCGGAUUCAUUGGGUUUAAAGGGUGCGUAGGCGGACUGAUAAGUCAGUGGUGAAAUCUCUUUGCUUAACAAAGAAACUGCCAUUGAUACUGUCGGUCUAGAGUAUAGAUGACGUUGGCGGAAUAUGACAUGUAGUGGUGAAAUACUUAGAUAUGUCAUAGAACACCGAUUGCGAAGGCAGCUAACGAAACUAUAACUGACGCUGAGGCACGAAAGUGCGGGGAUCAAACAGGAUUAGAUACCCUGGUAGUCCGCACCGUAAACGAUGAUUACUCGUUGUUGGCGAUAUGACAGUCAGCGACCAAGCGAAAGCGAUAAGUAAUCCACCUGGGGAGUACGCCGGCAACGGUUGAAACUUAAAGGAAUUGACGG
rnacentral:rRNA from 1 species